AAGACUCCGUCUCUAAAUAAAUAAAUAAAAACUAAAGAGUAAAAACCUGUCCAGGACUCAAAGAGUGAAAAUCAGCUUGGAUGUGGAAAAGUUAGUACUGUCAAUGAUCCAUGAUCAGGCUGAGAGGACAAAGUCAGAAGCAAAAUUAAGCAGGAAGGUAAGGAAGCAGAUAUAUUCCUGGUAAUUCUUGGUGGAGUGAGAAGCAAAUGGAAAUCUGUUUUCUUCUACAAAAAGAGGAAGAAGCAGCAGCAGAGCCAGAAGCAGGAAGCAGAUAAAAAAUUUAAUCUCAUCAUGGACACAAAAGCAUACUAAAACAAACUAUAAACAAAUAAAAUUCUUUAUUUAAAUUUCUCUUGUGGGGAAAAUAUUUUUCUUUAAAGCACACUUACAAGUAAUUUGCAUUUACUUCCUGUAAAACAUUUCCAUUUUACAAUUAGCAAAACUAAAAGGCUAUGUCUCUUUAUGCAUUUAUUUUUGUUAGAAAAACGUCCCAUGGUGCUAUCAAACUGAUUUUAACCAUCAUCGAGCCUAACUUCGCCUCUGUUGACAACAUGACUACAAGCAUGAAUCAAAACGGAGUUAAGGAAUUUUAAGCCAUAAGGUUUCAAUUAUAGCUUACCAAUUAUGUAGUUAGCUGACAAAAAUCAAGUCUGAUGUAGAAUAGCUGUCAUCUAUUUAACUGCAGAUAAUCAUGGCAUUUUCAUUUAAGAUGAUCUGAACUUAUGAAAUAAAGGAUCCAGUCCCAAUAACUCAAUAAUCUCUUACGUUUUCUUUUGAAGACUUAUUUUAAAUAUUAACUAUUUCAGUGCCUGAAUGGAAAAACAUAAACAUUAGCUCAGAGACAAUGUGAUUCCUGUUUGGAAUCCAGCUGGCAGCUAUAAGCACCAUUAAAAACUCUAACAGGCUUUGUGCCCUUUUUAUUAAACAGCCUCACAUCCUGAACACAGGAAUGUGUUCAUUUAAAUAAACAUUAAUCUUUAAUGUUGAAUUCUGAAAACACAACCACAAAUCAUAGUUGGUUUUUCUGUGACAAUGAUCUAGUACAUUAUUUUCUCCACAUCAAACCUACCUUUCCAGAAGGUGGAAACUGUAUUUGCAAAAAUCAGGACAAAACUCACAUUUGAAAAGCAUUUUACAAUAUUAUAUCUAAAUU